GACGAACGCUGGCGGCGUGCUUAACACAUGCAAGUCGAACGGAAAGGCCCCUUUGGGGGUCCUCGAGUGGCGCACGGGUGCGUAACACGUGAGUAACCUGCCCUUGACUUCGGGAUAACUUCAGGAAACUGGGGCUAAUACCGGAUAGGCAUCCUUGCUGCAUGGUGGGGGUUGGAAAGCUUCGGCGGUUUUGGAUGGACUCGCGGCUUAUCAGCUUGUUGGUGGGGUAGUGGCUUACCAAGGCUUUGACGGGUAGCCGGCCUGAGAGGGCGACCGGCCACAUUGAGACUGAGAGACGGCCCAGACUCCGACGGGAGGCAGCAGUGGGGAAUAUUGCACAAUGGGCGGAAGCCGGAUGCAGCAACGCCGCGUGCGGGAUGACGGCCUUCGGGUUGUAGACCGCUUUCAGCAGGGGCGAAGCUUGUGGUGACGGUACCUGCAGAAGAAGCACCGGCUAACUACGUG
rnacentral:rRNA from 1 species